rnacentral:rRNA from 1 species
AGAGUUUGAUCAUGGCUCAGGAUGAACGCUAGCUACAGGCUUAACACAUGCAAGUCGAGGGGCAGCAUGUUGGUUGCUUGCAGCCAACGAUGGCGACCGGCGCACGGGUGAGUAACGCGUAUCCAACCUACCCUUGUCCAUCGGAUAACCCGUCGAAAGGCGGCCUAACACGAUAUGCGGUUCACAGCAGGCAUCUAACGUGAACGAAAUGUAAAGGAGAAGGAUGGGGAUGCGUCUGAUUAGCUUGUUGGCGGGGUAACGCCACCAAGGCUACGAUCGAGUAGGGGUUCUGAGAGGAAGGUCCCCACAUUGGAACUGAGACACGGUCCAAACGUCCUACGGGAGGCA